rnacentral:lncRNA from 1 species
AAGAAGAAGACGAUAUAUUUAUAUAUUUAGAAAAAAUUUAACUUUUAACUUUAAUAUAUUAUUUUGCAUGUGCAGCACGGAUUUGUCUAUCGUGAAAACAACAAGUCACCAGGAUACUAUGAUGGCAGGUCAGUACCAAAUCCACAAUAUUUUAGUUAAAUUAUAGAUAUAUGUACGCAGAUCUUGAAAAGAAGUACAAAAUCAUGUUUCGAGACCAUGUUUUAGAAGAACGAAAUCUUGAAUUUUAAAUCCUGAAUCCGGUACUGAUGCAGAUACUGGACCAUGUGGAAGCUACCUAUGUUCGGAUGCACUGAUGCCACCCAAGUGUUGGCUGAGGUAGAAGAGGCGAAGAAGGCAUACCCACAGGCCUGGAUCCGUAUCAUUGGAUUCGACAACGUGCGUCAAGUGCAGUGCAUCAGUUUCAUCGCCUACAAGCCAGAAGGCUACUAAGUUUCAUAUUAGGACAACUUACCCUAUUGUCUGACUUUAGGGGCAGUUUGUUUGAAAUGUUACUUAGCUUCUUUUUUUUUCUUCUUCCCACAAAAAUUGUUUUAUGUUUCCUACUUUCUAUUCGGUGUAUGUUUUUGGAUUCCUACCAAGUUAUGAGAACUAAUAAUAAUUAUGAUUUGGUGCUUUGUUUGUAAAUUUUGUUGUUUCACAUUCGUGUGGCGUAUAUGAGUUUCAUCUUGAUAAUAUCUGCAAAUCUUAAAUGCAAAUUAUGGUCCACACACGCACCAUAAAACACCCUCACUCCAACCAAUUUCAGAUGAUAGAAA